rnacentral:rRNA from 1 species
UACGAGGGGGCUAGCGUUGCUUCGGAAUACUGGGCGUAAAGGGUGCGUAGGCGGGUCUUUAAGUCAGGGGUGAAAUCCUGGAGCUCAACUCCAGAACUGCCUUUGAUACUGAGGAUCUUGAGUUCGGGAGAGGUGAGUGGAACUGCGAGUGUAGAGGUGAAAUUCGUAGAUAUUCGCAAGAACACCAGUGGCGAAGGCGGCUCACUGGCCCGAUACUGACGCUGAGGCACGAAAGCGUGGGGAGCAACAGGG